AGAGUUUGAUCAUGGCUCAGGACGAACGCUGGCGGCGUGCCUAACACAUGCAAGUCAGGGAGAAUAGGGUAGCAAUAUCCUUAGUAAACCGGCGAACGGGUGAGUAACACGUAGGUAAUCUACCUUGAAGUUUGGGACAACCUCGCGAAAGUGGGGCUAAUACCGAAUGACACAAACAGUUCUUAGGGGCUGUUUGUCAAAGCUUCCGAGCGCUUCAAGAUGAGCCUGCGUCCGAUUAGCUAGUUGGUGAGGUAAUGGCUCACCAAGGCUACGAUCGGUAGCCGACCUGAGAGGGUGAUCGGCCACACUGGGACUGAGAUACGGCCCAGACUCCUACGGGAGGCAGCAGUGAGGAAUAUUGGUCAAUGGGCGAAAGCCUGAACCAGCAACGCCGCGUGAGGGAUGAAGCACCAAGGUGUGUAAACCUCUGUUAGAGGGGACGAACGAUCCCGAUUUUCGGGAUGUGACGGUACCCUCAGAGAAGCC
rnacentral:rRNA from 1 species